rnacentral:rRNA from 1 species
GCGGUAAAACAUAGGUCACGAGCAUUAUCCGGAUUUAUUGGGCGUAAAGGAAGCGUAGGCGGACAAAUUGAUCUAUUGUUAAAGGCACUUGCUCAACGAGUUGUUUGUGAUAGAUAUCGUUUGUCUAGAAUUAGUUAGGAGAUACUGGAAUUCAAUGUGUAGCGGUGGAAUGCGUAGAUAUAUUGAGGAACACCGGAGGCUAAGGCGAGUAUCUAGGACAUAAUUGACGCUGAGGCUUGAAAGCGUGGGGAGCAAAUGGGAUUAGAUACCCCAGUAGUCCACGCCGUAAACGAUGGGUAUUAGGUAUUUGGUCUAGGACUGAGUGCUGUAGCUAACGCGUUAAAUACCCCGCCUGGGUAGUAUAUAUGCAAAUAUGAAACUCAAAGAAAUUGACGGGGACCUGA